AACCCCACAGAUCUAAACCUAUUCUCUUCAUCUUUCUCCGUCGUUCUCUCCUAGGUCACAGAUUCGUGAUAUGUCUGUGGGAGACACCUCCGUAAACUCGUCUCCCUCCUCUCUGUCGUAGGUCUCACAAUCCCAUUAAAACACCUUGUCGCCGGAAACUUACAGUAUCCACCAGUUUAAGCUUCCAGCAGCCACGAAAUACCUCGUCGCCGUUAAUUUCCACUUCACCAAGGUUCAAGAACUCCUGCAAGCUCCCGCUGAGAAGCCAUCCUCGAUUUCCGACCAUCCUCCAAGCUUUGGGUUAAGAUUUCGAUUCUACGGCUAGAAAUGUUAUUCUAACGAGUUGUAAUUUGAAAUCCAAUCCAAAGGUUGCUGGAUGCCAGAGUUUUUCUGUAAUACAAGGACUGUUGUGUUGAUCCAACACCCUAGCUCAGGACACGUGCGUGCUCAUUGUAAAAUCUGUACUGGAACCCUUCCCGGCUACGGUAGCUCCACCCUUCAAGCCUCCCCGUCGCAGCUUCAGACUUUCUAUUCCUUUGUAUCCGUUGAUGACCAUCCCUCUGACGAUAAUGGCAAAUCCAAGACCCCUAGUGAUACUAUCUCGCUUAAACCUUUUUCUUGUGAUCUCUCUAAACAAUGCCAGUAUUCAUUUUCUGUUUUGUUUUCGGGUAUAUAAGUUGUCCAACUUUCUGCAGUUUGCAUUGGUGGAACGGGUGGGAAAUCUAGCUGAUCAGAAGAUGAGGUAUUCUCAGAUGCUGUUACUGACGCUGUGGAUGCUGUUGGAUCAUCUACUUUGGGGCUUCAACAAUACAUGCAAGAGGCAGUCAUCAAGCAUGCUAAGGGUCUUGUUGAUGGUAAACUGACACUGAUGUUUGUUAUUUCCCUUAUGUCAUAUCUCUAUUUUGUUUGCUUUUCGUAAAGGACUUUCCCCUACCUAUUUAGUUGCAUCAGUAUCUGCAUCUUCUUCUUCCUUGUCUAGAAUUGUUAUAUAUCAUCUAUGAACAGAUUCCUAGUAACAUAGCCAUAUCUUUAAAGAUAAAAACAACCCUUUUGACAUUCUACUUAUGAUUAACGUAGAAACUCUUGAACUUUCUUGAUUUAUGUUUUUAACAACCACAUACCAUAACUUGCUGCUCGCAUAUUAAGUACAGGUCUUUGAGAUGAGACAGUCAAAAGUUGAAGUUCAUCCGGAUAGAGUUACACCAGCAGCUGAACAAUGUAUCCCGUUUGUUGCAUGGAGAAGACAAGAAUCGUGUUCAAAUUGAGGACGAUGAUGAUGGUCUUGAGUCCCUGAUGUAUUUAUGUGUAGGUGAAUUAUCUAAUGUGUAGUCUAGUAAAUUCGGUUGUGUAGAAGAAUUAAUGAAUUCUAUACAGUAGUGUAGACUCGUAGGUUUUGGUUCUAAUUACUCAUUGGACGAUGAUGUUUUGUGCUAUCUUUGUUGUAAUAAAAAUAGGUAUGGGUUGUGUUGUGUGUAGACUAAUCAAAAAGUGCCAAAAAAUUAUGAUGUAACAACUGAGGUUGCAGGUACCAUUUAUCGAACAAAAUCAGAAAAACUGGAAUUUUUUUUCGAUAAAUGUGGAGCCAAAAAUCUGUUAAGC
rnacentral:lncRNA from 1 species